AGGUAGGGGCUGGGAGUUUGGGCAGAGUGUCCUCAGAAGCUCUUGUGUGGAUUGGGGGAGGGCGCGAGCCUUGGGGUGUUCUGCCCAGAAUCUCCCACACCCUUUGGUGAGUCAUUCUAACUGGUCCCAGCCCAAGGGGUCUGUGCCCACGCUUCUGGCCAGGUGGGGAAGCCAGCUUCUAAGGAUGGGAGGAGGAGCUGAGAACCAACUGUCAGACCCAGCGGACACCCCCCUACCCAACCCCACCCCCAGAACCCCCAACAUUUCCAGCCGCAGCUUGGCGUGAGCUGAAAUUAUUGGGAUGCUCUCAGCUCGGCCAUGUCGAAACUUCCAAGAGUGAAAGCCCUUUAAGGACUUCGGGAUGCAGGAAGGUUGGAGUCAGCCCAGAGCUUGGACGACUGAGGCGAAUGAGUGGGAUCAUUCUUUCCUGGGCUCCCCGGGUUCGCUCAGCGACACCCCCAGCCGGCAUUCCCAAAGGAGCUUUUAUGGAGCAAAGAAUGCUUUGCCAUUACUCGUCCCUUCCCUGGGGUCUGGCGCCAGGCCGGCUGGCCUGUGAAAGGGGUGGGGAAUGGGGUGUUAUCACCACCACCCGUCCCUGCCCGCCUGAGGCAGUGAUCACACCUGCCAGGAGGAUAGGGAGGGGAGGGCGGGUACUGGGGUGGGGGGACAGGUCACACCCAAACUGAAGGGUCUGAGACCAAUUUUCAUUCCUCAGGCUGCAUCCUCACUUAUCUCCCAGCUCAGAGCCUCAGGGUAAUUUAACUGUUCUUUCUCUCCCCUUGAUCCUUUGUGGAGUCACUCGGGUGCUCUUGGAAUAGGGAGUGGUUCCCAAAGUUAGCACAGGAGUCAGGCUGCCCAAGUUCAAAUCCUGGCUCCCCCAUUUACUAGCUGUGUGACCUUGGCCAAGUCCCUUAGCCUUUCUGUGCCCUAAGAAGAUAAACUGAGGUGACAGUGGAUGACACAGGAAGAUAGGGUGUGUGCCUUUCUCCAUUCUUGCUAAAAAGGCUAGAGGCUUCUACAGGGAAGAGAUAAUCCGCUCCCAAUCCUCCUCCAGAUCAAGUCCCUCCCUGUUUUCCCACCUGCCGUCAAAUCUGAUCAGGGCCCUCUGAGGCCUUUCCUCCGGGGCUUGCUAGUUUUAAACACCAGGUGUUAACUGCAAAGAAAGGUGAUGAAGGCGGGGAGAGACCUGAUUUGCGAUAAAUCCCAAGCCCUUAGUGCUCUGGGCACAGCUCCAGGCUGGGUGCCAAGGCUGGCUUCUCUUCCCAGCCCUGGGGCCUUGAGACUCAGCCUCUGAAAGUGGUGUUUCUGUGGUCAGGGUCAUCUGAGCAGAGGGUGGCCAUUUGUGGUGAGCCCGUGGCCCCUGCCCUGAUCAUGCUCCUUCAUCUGUCCUCUUCUGCUGGGGACCUGGGCUGAUCCGAGGAUGCUGGGAAGACGUGUGUACACGUUUACAUCCAGGAGAACUCACAUCCAGGAUGUCAGCAGUGGAGGGCCUUUAGUGGCCCUUGGCUGACCCCUUCCCAGGCGGAACGAGGACAGCUGAGACUUCCCGAUGUGAAGGGGGAAAUGACUUAGUUGGGGAGGAAAGAGACCAGGGUUUACAAGGACUGAAUUGAGUCUGAACUCCACCCGUUUGCUGCAGGACUUUAGGGCCACUCCCACAGCUUAUGGAGUUUCCCAGGCGAGGGGUCAAAUCGGAGCUACAGAGGCCAGCCUACGCCAGAGUCACGGCAACACUGGAACUGAGCUGCAUCUGCAACCUACACCACAGCUCAAGGCAAUGCCGGAUCCUUCACCCACUGAGCAAGGCCAGGGAUGGAACCCGCAACCUCAUGGUUCCUAGUUGGAUUCGUUAACCACUGAGCCACGAUGGGAACUCCCCCGCUUGCCCUUUUUAAAGGGCUGGAGAAAACCCCUGAACAUGUGGAAUCCUAAUGCCGGGCAGCCAAAGCCAAAUCCUUACCCGCCUAAUGUCAGAUACCCUGGAGGUUGCAAUCCUGCCCAUCCACUACCUGCCAACCCUCCCUUUCCUCCAGGCCCCUUUCCCACUCCCCCAGGAGUGCCCCAGGGGAAUCCAGCUUUUCCCCCUGGCAGGCCUUGUUAUCCUGCGCCACAGCCCAGGGCAUCCAAGAUGCCAGCCCUCAGGUCCCUACCCACCACCUUCCCCUGGCAUGCCACCUGUGAAUCCAUUGGCUCCUGGCAUGGUGGGACCAGGCAUGGUGAUGGACAAGAUGAAGAAGAAAAUGAAGAAAGCUCAUAAAAAGAAGCGCAAGCACCACAAGCAUGGCAAGCAUUCCUCCUCCUCUUCCAGCAGUGACUCUGACUGAAUACAGGGCCUGGACCCUUCCCUCGAGUCUCUCCAGUUCUGCUCUCCCAUCAAGCUUCAGAUGCCAUCUUGUCCUGGGGGAAAUUAGCCCUCAUGUCCUCCCCUUCCACCCCCACAAUCUGGGCUGCGCUCUGCUGUUCAGCCCUCACUGGCUAGAGAAAAUGGGGAAAGAAUUGCUAUGAGCUAGUUUGGGUAGAACUUUUAGCUGACAAGUUUUGCAGGAGAACUAUUUUUUGAAGAUGGUGAGAUCUUUGGGCUAAAUGCGGAAGACAAGUCUAAGAUCUGAAAAAUGUGAUUCUUUGCUGUUCCUUUGUAAUACUUAUGAUGGGGGAGAUGCUGUGAAACUUUAACUAUGGGGGAAAAAAACCCAAAACCUGUACCUUCCUUGUGAUUGUGGCAUACUUGGGUGAUUUAGCGGCAAAUAAACAUUUCCCAGCAAGCAAAAAAGAAAAAA
rnacentral:lncRNA from 9 species